GCUAUGAGCUUGUGAUACAACCACACACGUCAUGCUCCUGUAGCAGUCAUUAGUCAUUAGAACUCCAAUUUGAUGUUAUUUAAGAGUUUGUUUGUGAAACACUGUGCUACCCACAAGCUUUGGUGAGUUUUCGUCAAUUAGGGAUAAUGCUGUUGCCAUAGAAACGCUCAAGUUGGCAUCUACAACGUUAAAAGGUGGCAUCAGUGAGCGAACAGCUUUUACAGGAGACUACACUUCACUGUGGCUUGAAGAAGAAGAGAACCGAGGAUUAUGAACGUGAGCACAUCUCAGCUCUGUCCCCGGAAUUUGAAUUCAUCUGCUUAAAUGUGUGAUCCUUCAGGGGGGUAGAGUUUCAGCUGGAACAGAUUACCCACAGCACAGCAUAUAUCUGGACUCUGUAAAUUCAGCAUGUCAGCAGCAAGAUCAUCCCACUGAAUAUUAGUCUUAUCUUAUUACAUUAGGGUACACAUGAUAGCGACUGAUGUAGGCAGCAAUUUAUAUCGCUGAAGGAGGCUAUGAGAAAUACAGAUGAUAUCCCACAAAGGGGGUUUCAAGAGUGGAGGAACGACGUCAAUGAAGAAGAGUUGGGUAGAAUGAGGUGAGGGGGUGGGGGUCCUGAGAGCUUGAUAUAAGACUGUAGUGUCAUUCCAGUGGUGACUCAAGAGACAUCUGCAAUCCACUUUAGAGCACUUUGCCCUAUUUUCUUCCUCUUUGCUUUUUACAGCCUUCUGGUGAAAGGGCUCAGCUAGGCACUGCAUUAUAUUGUACUCAAAGCUAAAUUUAACCAUAUAUUGGCAAGAAAUCUGACAUUUUUUGUGUGUUGCCAAGAAUUUCUCUAUAAAAGAGUCAGCGAGUUGACAAGAGAAAUAAAUUUGUACUUAAUUGUGGCAUCUUAAAAGGUAAUAAAAGAAACAGAACU